CCUACGGGUGGCAGCAGUGGGGAAUAUUGCACAAUGGGGGAAACCCUGAUGCAGCGACGCCGCGUGAGUGAAGAAGUCAUUCGUGUUGUAAAGUACUUUCAGCAGGGAAGAAAAUGACGGUCUUUGACUAAGAAGCCCCUGCUAACUACGUGCCAGCAGCCGCGGUAAUACGGAGGGGGCAAGCGUUAUCCGGAUUUACUGGGUGUAAAGGGAGCGGAGGCGGCAGUGCAAGUCUGAAGUGAAAGUCGGGGGCUCAACCCCCGGACUGCUCUUGAAACUGUACGGCUGGAGUGCAGGAGAGGUAAGUGGAAUUCCUGGUGUAGCGGUGAAAUGCGUAGAUAUUAGGAGGAACACCAGUGGCGAAGGCGGCUUACUGGACUAUAACUGACGUUGAGGCUCGAAAGCGUGGGGAGCAAACAGGAUUAGAUACCCCGGUAGUC
rnacentral:rRNA from 1 species